GACGAACGCUGGCGGCGUGCUUAACACAUGCAAGUCGAACGGAAAGGCCCUGCUUUUGUGGGGUGCUCGAGUGGCGAACGGGUGAGUAACACGCGAGUAACCUGCCCUUGACUUUGGGAUAACUUCAGGAAACUGGGGCUAAUACCGGAUAGGAGCUCCUGCUGCAUGGUGGGGGUUGGAAAGUUUCGGCGGUUGUGGAUGGACUCGCGGCUUAUCCGCUUGUUGGUGGGGUAGUGGCUUACCAAGGCUUUGACGGGUAGCCGGCCUGAGAGGGUGACCGGCCACAUUGGGACUGAGAUACGGCCCAGACUCCUACGGGAGGCAGCAGUGGGGAAUAUUGCGCAAUGGGCCGAAGCCUGAUGCAGAGACGCCGCGUGCGGGAUGACGGCCUUCGGGUUGUAAACCGCUUUCGCCUGUGACGAAGCGUGAGUGACGGUAAUGGGUAAAGAAGCACCGGCUAACUACGUG
rnacentral:rRNA from 1 species